rnacentral:rRNA from 1 species
UACGGGGGGGGCAAGCGUUGUUCGGAAUUACUGGGCGUAAAGGGCUCGUAGGCGGCCAACUAAGUCGGAUGUGAAAUCCCCAGGCUUAACCUGGGAACUGCAUCCGAUACUGGAUGGCUUGAAUCCGGGAGAGGGAUGCAGAAUUCCAGGUGUAGCGGUGAUAUGCGUAGAUAUCUGGAGGAAUACCGGUGGCGAAGGCGGCAUCCUGGACCGGCAUUGACGCUGAGGAGCGAAAGCCAGGGGAGCAAACGGG